GCUCAAAAGAAGAGAUACAAUGGAUAGAAGUAGACAUGAGAAAUGGAGAAAAAUGGAGAAAUCAAGGAAUGUGCAGAAGGACCUAUUUCAGAGCAACAUCUGAGAGCAGAGAAGUGUGGCUAUGUAAACACUCAAGGCAAGAGCUGGGAAGUCCAAGAUCAAG